rnacentral:misc_RNA from 1 species
UACGUAGGUGGCAAGCGUUGUCCGGAAUUAUUGGGCGUAAAGCGCGCGCAGGCGGUUUGUCACGUCGUCUGUGAAAGCCCCCGGCUCAACCGGGGAGGGCCAUUGGAAACUGGGAGGCUUGAGUAUAGGAGAGAAGAGUGGAAUUCCACGUGUAGCGGUGAAAUGCGUAGAGAUGUGGAGGAACACCAGUGGCGAAGGCGACUCUUUGGCCUAUAACUGACGCUGAGGCGCGAAAGCGUGGGGAGCAAACAGG